rnacentral:rRNA from 1 species
GAUGAACGCUGGCGGCGUGCCUAAUACAUGCAAGUCGAGCGAACGGACGCGACGCUUGCUUUUCUGUUGUUAGCGGAGCAGGGGUGUGUAACACGUGGAUAACCUACCUAUCAGACUGGGAUAUCUUCGGGACACCGGAGCUAAUACCGGAUAAUCUUCUGCACCGCAUGGUUCGAUAGUGAAAGACGGUCUUGCUGUCACUUAUAGCUGGAUCUGCGCUGCAUUAGCUAGUUGGUAAGGUAACGGCUUACCACGGCAACGAUGCAUAUCCGACCUGAGAGGGGGAUCGGCCGCACGAGAACGGAGACGCGGUCCAUACUCCUACGAGAGGCAGCAGUAGCGAAUCGGCCGCAACGGGCGAAAGUAUUACGGAGCAACGCCGAGUGAGUGAUGAAGGUCUCCGGUGCGGAAUACUCGGUUACGAGGGGAGAACCGAUGUGUAAGGUACUGUACACAGCUUGACGGUACUGAGUCAGAAAGCCACGGCUAACUACGUG